GGCGGUAUGCUUAACACAUGCAAGUCGAACGGUGUCUUCGGACACAGUGGCGGACGGGUGAGUAACGCGUGAGAAUCUAGCUUCAGGUCUGGGACAACCACUGGAAACGGUGGCUAAUACCGGAUGUGCCGAAAGGUGAAAGGCUUGCUGCCUGAAGAUGAGCUCGCGUCUGAUUAGCUAGUAGGUGGGGUAAGAGCCUACCUAGGCGACGAUCAGUAGCUGGUCUGAGAGGACGAUCAGCCACACUGGGACUGAGACACGGCCCAGACUCCUACGGGAGGCAGCAGUGGGGAAUUUUCCGCAAUGGGCGAAAGCCUGACGGAGCAAUACCGCGUGAGGGAGGAAGGCUCUUGGGUUGUAAACCUCUUUUCUCAGGGAAGAAAAAAAUGACGGUACCUGAGGAAUCAGCAUCGGCUAACUCCGUGCCAGCAGCCGCGGUAAUACGGAGGAUGCAAGCGUUAUCCGGAAUGAUUGGGCGUAAAGCGUCCGCAGGUGGCUGUGUAAGUCUGCUGUCAAAGAGCGAAGCUCAACUUCGUAAAGGCAGUGGAAACUACACGGCUAGAGUGCGUUCGGGGCAGAGGGAAUUCCUGGUGUAGCGGUGAAAUGCGUAGAGAUCAGGAAGAACACCGGUGGCGAAGGCGCUCUGCUAGGCCGCAACUGACACUGAGGGACGAAAGCUAGGGGAGCGAAUGGGAUUAGAUAC
rnacentral:rRNA from 1 species